UAAUGUGUGUGCACACUUGAGUUCCCCUCGCCCAAGAAAAAAUUCAAUACAAUACGGCCUUCCUCCCCUUUUUAUACCUCCUCUUUUUCUCUAAGUCAUUUUACUUGCUAUUUUACUUGGUGAAUUGCAAAUGGCCUCUUAAGGACCUUCUUGCCCAGCAUCCAUGUGAGAGCAAAGGGCUCUGCCACUGGUAACAUCUUACCAAUCUGUCAAGGCUGAUGUUUGAUUUGUCUGCUCUUUUUUUUCCCUCCGCCUAUUUCAAUGCAGAGGAGUACGAAGAAGAAGGUAACAAAAACCCUUGGAACGUAAUUUAUCUUUCUUUGAGUCUUUGUCCUGCUUUUUCCUUGUCUGUAUUUCACCCUUCUCUUUGGUGCUUGCUGCUAAAGGUGAUCUGAAAGACUUGAUCAGUAAAUCAGUCAGAAAUUAUAAAACCAGCUAGGUUUGGGCUGUGAUGUGCAGAACCUUCCCAUUAUGGCAGAUUUCUGUGAGCCAUAGGGAUGGUUGUAAACCUGGAAGCUAACCUGCCCCUUAACUUUUAGAGCAGGGAUUAGCACAGAGCCCACACAACGUAUCAUCACUGAAAUCCUGCCACUCUCACUUUGGCGAUGUCCAAACAGAGUUUAGAUAUUGAAACUGAAAAGAAGAGCAGGUUGAUCAACUCCCAAGGAGCACCUGACAGGGUGCUGCUAUGGAUAGAAGAGGUGAGGCAGAGAACUGACUGACAAAGAUGAAGUUUUUUAACAUGCCUUUUGCUGGCAAAAGGUGAUUUGACAAGCUGCUAUAGCCGAUCUGGAAAGAUGGAGCAUGAAAAGCCUUUCUCACCUGAGUUGUUUCACCUUUUGUAGGCAGCGGGGAGAGGAAGAUAUGGAGAUGUAUCACUGUCUUUGCUGGGCACUUUUGACAUGCUGGCUCAGUUCAGGCGAGUGUAGCUGCCAGUUGUCAUCCUGCAUUUUCCCAAGGUGUCUGGGACCAGGGGACAAACUCUGGGGCUGUUUCCCAGGAUCUGCCCUUAGUGUCCCAGACAUCUGCUAAGGGGUCAAGAGCAAGACCCUUUACUAGGAGGUAAAAUAUUUGCAUGUGGAGGGUGUGAGAUCAGUUCUGAGACAGAGACAUGUCCCUGUGUAGAAAUGGCCCUAUAGGGGAUUUUACACACAGCUGCCAAUUUUUUUUUUUUUUUUUUUUUUUUGCCAUGGAUUCCCUCAGAUUGCUGCAACUGGCCAAUGCCCAUCAGUAGCAGGAACGGAGGUGUGGCUGUGGCCAGGCUGAGGGUAGUUCCCGCCCUAAGGUACAUUAUUCUUUAGUCUCUAAUUCCCCAUCAUGGGUUCUAAGGAGGUCAAGGGCUCAGAAAAAAACUGAAAGAAAGCAGAGUUGUUAAAUGGGCUGUAGAGCUGCCUUUGGUCAACAUCGUACGUCUAGUCCUGCCUGGAGAGGCAGAGCCAGGGAUGUGAAGGUGCUAUUCAUGCUCCAUCCUUCAUGCCUUGUCAAAUGUCCAAAGAGUAAGCAAAGGGUGAUGGUCCUACAGACAAGCCUUCUUUAAAGGAGAAGCAUUUCUUGCCUUUCUUCUUUCUUCCCUGUCUACUUUUGGGUUUCAAGAAUUUAAUGAUUAAUGUGAAAUUAAUAGGCAGGUGACUUCCUAUUCCUUUAAUCUGCAUGACUAUCUCCUCUCAGGUGUUAUCUUCUUGCUCCCCACUCUUGUGUGACCUUUGCAUUCUCUUCCAAAGUCAUCCACUUCCUUUCCACAUAACUUUUCUCCAUCACUUUCUAACCACUUUUUUUCUCCAGGCCUCGGCUCACUCCAAUACCAGCUUCUAACAGUUUUCUGUUUUCAUUUUCUUGCUUGCUGUUGCUUCUUGUUCCAUGACACUUGCCACCUGAAGCUCAGGAAGAAGGUUUGUGGCAUGGCUUCACUUUCUUUCUCUCUCAGUGUGGAGGAAGAAUGCGUGUGAGGAAAUACACAUCAAAUGGUUCACACCCAGUGGCCAGGACUUGGUCCCAAGCCACAGACAUCAAUGCAAUGAUGGACAUUGAUGUCAUUUAUUGAGCUGGUAGGAAAUUGGGCCUGUUAGAUAUACAUAUGUAUAAGAAAUAAAAUACGCAUGUAUAUGAAAAAAA